rnacentral:rRNA from 1 species
GGGGAUAACAUUUGGAAACAGAUGCUAAUACCGAAUAAAACUUAGUAUCGCAUGAUAUCAAGUUAAAAGGCGCUACGGCGUCACCUAGAGAUGGAUCCGCGGUGCAUUAGUUAGUUGGUGGGGUAAAGGCUUACCAAGACAAUGAUGCAUAGCCGAGUUGAGAGACUGAUCGG